rnacentral:misc_RNA from 1 species
GAAAUGCGAUAAGUAAUGUGAAUUGCAGAAUUCAGUGAAUCAUCGAAUCUUUGAACGCACCUUGCGCUCCUUGGUAUUCCGAGGAGCAUGCCUGUUUGAGUGUCAUGGUAUUCUCAACUCUACAAAGCUUUUGCAAUGAAGAGUUGGAUUUGGAGGCUUGUGUUGGCUCGAAAGAGUUGACUCCUCUGAAAUGCAUUAGUGUGAACCUUUACGGAUCGCCUCCAGUGUGAUAAUGUCUACGCUGUGGUGUUGAAGUAUUUCUAGUGUUCAUGCUUCUAACCGUCCUCUUGGGACAAUCAUUUGACAAUCUGACCUCAAAUCAGGUAGGACUACCCGCUGAACUUAA